rnacentral:rRNA from 1 species
UACAGAGGUCCCAAGCGUUGUUCGGAUUCACUGGGCGUAAAGCGUGCGUAGGUGGUUCGUUAAGUCUGUCGUGAAAGCCCCGGGCUCAACCUGGGAAUGGCGAUGGAUACUGGCGGGCUAGAGUGCGGUAGAGGAGAGUGGAAUUCCCGGUGUAGCAGUGAAAUGCGUAGAGAUCGGGAGGAACAUCAGUUGCGAAGGCGGCUCUCUGGACCAGCACUGACACUGAGGCACGAAAGCGUGGGGAGCAAACAGG